AGAGUUUGAUCCUGGCUCAGGACGAACGCUGGCGGCACGCUUAACACAUGCAAGUCGAACGAGAGAAGAGGAGCUUGCUUUUCUGAUCUAGUGGCGGACGGGUGAGUAACACGUGAGCAAUCUGCCUUUCAGAGGGGGAUACCGAUUGGAAACGAUCGUUAAUACCGCAUAACAUAAUUGAACCGCAUGAUUUGAUUAUCAAAGAUUUAUCGCUGAAAGAUGAGCUCGCGUCUGAUUAGCUAGUUGGUAAGGUAACGGCUUACCAAGGCGACGAUCAGUAGCCGGACUGAGAGGUUGAUCGGCCACAUUGGGACUGAGACACGGCCCAGACUCCUACGGGAGGCAGCAGUGGGGAAUAUUGCACAAUGGAGGAAACUCUGAUGCAGCGAUGCCGCGUGAGGGAAGAAGGUUUUAGGAUUGUAAACCUCUGUCUUCAGGGACGAAAAAAGACGGUACCUGAGGAGGAAGCUCCGGCUAACUACGUGCCAGCAGCCGCGGUAAUACGUAGGGAGCGAGCGUUGUCCGGAAUUACUGGGUGUAAAGGGGGCGUAGGCGGGAUCGCAAGUCAGAUGUGAAAACUAUGGGCUUAACCCAUAAACUGCAUUUGAAACUGUGGUUCUUGAGUGAAGUAGAGGUAAGCGGAAUUCCUAGUGUAGCGGUGAAAUGCGUAGAUAUUAGGAGGAACAUCAGUGGCGAAGGCGGCUUACUGGGCUUUAACUGACGCUGAGGCUCGAAAGCGUGGGGAGCAAACAGGAUUAGAUACCCUGGUAGUCCACGCCGUAAACGAUGAUUACUAGGUGUGGGGGGACUGACCCCUUCCGUGCCGCAGCUAACGCAAUAAGUAAUCCACCUGGGGAGUACGACCGCAAGGUUGAAACUCAAAGGAAUUGACGGGGGCCCGCACAAGCAGUGGAGUAUGUGGAUUAAUUCGAAGCAACGCGAAGAACCUUACCAGGUCUUGACAUCGUAUGCAUAGCUCAGAGAUGAGUGAAAUCUCUUCGGAGACAUAUAGACAGGUGGUGCAUGGUUGUCGUCAGCUCGUGUCGUGAGAUGUUGGGUUAAGUCCCGCAACGAGCGCAACCCUUACUGUUAGUUGCUACGCAAGAGCACUCUAGCAGGACUGCCGUUGACAAAACGGAGGAAGGUGGGGAUGACGUCAAAUCAUCAUGCCCCUUACGACCUGGGCCUCACACGUACUACAAUGGCUGUCAACAGAGGGAAGCAAAGCCGCGAGGUGGAGCGAACCCCUAAAAGCAGUCUUAGUUCGGAUUGUAGGCUGCAACCCGCCUACAUGAAGUCGGAAUUGCUAGUAAUCGCAGAUCAGCAUGCUGCGGUGAAUACGUUCCCGGGCCUUGUACACACCGCCCGUCACGCCGUGGGAGUCGGUAACACCCGAAGCCUGUAGUCUAACCGCAAGGAGGACGCAGUCGAAGGUGGGAUUGAUGACUGGGGUGAAGUCGUAACAAGGUA
rnacentral:rRNA from 1 species